GCCUUCUGAAGAACUUUUCUCGGGAACAUAUGACUCAGCAGUUGAAUUCCCUGAGGGACGGAGGCCCCUGAAGUCCUCCCAGCUAUGGUUGGAGUCCACACCUCUGGAACUUGGCACCUGAUCCUGGAAGGGCAGAAGGGGACUCCCGAAGAUGAGAUGAUACGACAUUUGGCCGAGCUGUGGAGACUAUCAUUCAGAAUGAAGCAAGGGAGAGGCCUCAGGGGAAGGAGUGAGCCUGCUGAGACGAGGGUCUCCAAACCCUGAAGCAUCCAAGGUGGGGAUGGGCCACCCAAAAAGUGUGCCCAAGGAGGCAAAGUGUAGGCCCAACUUUUUUUUUUUUAGUCUUGUUUGACCAGCCUUGGCACUGCCCCCCCGGCUCUCCAGGGGAAAACUGCAAUUCUGCUAUUGCAACACAGGGAGCAGACUGGAGAAUUUAGAUCUGCGUCACAGAGCUCAGAGAGAGAGAGAGAGGGAGAGAGAGGGAGAGAGAGAGAGGGAGAGAGCAAGGGAGAGAGAGAGCUCCGUCGAUAGGUCUGUUAGCAACAGCCUUGCUGCCUCAGAGAGAGAGAGAGAGAGAGAGAGAGAGAGAGAGAGAGAGAGAGAGAGAGAGAGAGAGAGAGAGAGAGCGAGCAAGGAACAAGUAAUAUCAACAUUGGGUACUGGGUUCUGCCAGCCCACUUGCGAAGCUUUCAGAGAUGUAUUGGGGACAUCGCAGCCCAUGGGAGCUCAGGCAGAGAAGAUGACACGCAAGGUGGCACGGGUGUCUCUGUGGGGAAGGAGACUUGGGGGGGGGCAGAGGUUGCGGGGCGAUGGUGGCAGGCUUCACUGGGGACAAAAUUCUGGAACAUUCUGUCCUGCGACACCAUACGGCAGGUUGGAUGGAGAGCUGGGACUGCGCAGGAGGCGACAGGCAGUUCUGACGGGUUCCCAGACUUGGUGGUGUGUACCCUCUUCUUCCCCCACGAACUCAGGACUUAGUCAUCAGCAGAAUCUCCCAUGUUAA
rnacentral:lncRNA from 1 species